GGGGAAGGAGGGUUGUCUGCUGUCUGGUAGGAGGGCUUUGUCUGUGUGCGCCUUUCUCUCUCUCCCUCUCUCGCUCUCCCUGGCUCUCGCACUCUCGCUCGCUCUCGCUCGCUCUCUCUCGCUCGCUCUCCCUUUCCCGUCUCUGUGGUUUGUAAGGUAGGUUGCAGUGUGUGUAUAUACACAACAUCAAGAGCAGGAAAAUGGACUCAUUAGGGAGGCAGGCAGUCAUUACCACUCACACUGUACUUCCAGGGAGACAGCGACUAUGAGGAGACAAACUGAGGACUGGGGAACAAGCAGCAUAAGAAAGAAGUGUUGAGAACUGCUCUUAACCCUUUUGGAGGCCGAAGUCAAAAGGGAAAUAGAGGGCUUGACGCGUUCUUUACAUCCUGCAUUUACUCUGACCACAGUCCCUCCCUGUUCUCACAAGCGGAGUUCAGCCCUGCUUCCCUUCCUGUUGAUUCCCAGUCAGCUACAUGACUGCCUGAAGUUACAUUGUAGAUGCUGAAAUCACUGCACCUUAAAAACAAAAAGAUUAAGCCACACUGCAUUCCUAAUGUUGGAAUUUUUGGACUGUGCAUCUGUUUAGGCACGUGGAGAAAGACAAGACUGAGAUCAUCAGUGGUUGGCAGUUUUCCUCAACUUCGCGAGAGAGAGAUUUGGUUGGAAUGAAACCUUGCUCUGCGUACAGCCUGCUUGAGAUGCAGCAUUGAAAGAUCACUCACAAUCAGUUUGUGGCCUUUCUCUGGAGGAACCUUUCCGUGUCUCUUGUACACAGCCUCUCUCUGUUCCCUGCCCCAAUGAACGUCUGCACUAGGUCCAAGGCUUGGAGUAAUUUACCUGAAGAGUGAUACCAUUUGGAAACCACUGCAAUACAGAUGGAAUCCACUGCAACUUCUUAAAGGUUUACACUGCUCUUUCUGGGCCUUGAGACAUUUAUGACUUAAGGCCAUUAUGAUUUGGUAGAUUUGGCUGGAUGACAUAGGUAAAGUUGCCUGAGAGAAUUCUGACUUUGCAUUGUAGUUUUAUUAUGCUCUGAAAUGACCAUUUGUCUAAUAUUUGUACUUUUCCUUUUGAUUCUUUUGAUCAGUUCUCAGGAAUUGUCAGUAUUGUCACAGUGUUAGCAUAGCUGAGAUGCUCUGAUGUUACAAGUCAGGCAAGCUCUGUAGUCAGGACCCAACUCUCACGAGACUUGUGGUUUAGACAGAAUAAAGGGACAAAUUUUGGGCCAUAUGAACCCUACUUCAGGCCUGAAAAGGACCCAGCAAAUUUCAAUCUUACUUUAACUUAAUCUCUGAGUUUAAUUUAAUUAUGUUAAUCAGUCUCCUGUAAGGGAUUUUGGAGUUUAUUUUACUUUUCUGUGUUGAUUAAAUUUUCCAGGCUUUUAUUUCACUAGAACAUCGGGUCUCUCUUGUCAAUUCUCCGUGCCUCCCAUUCUUGCUUUGCAGUGUUCCACUGGGAUUUCUCUUUCAUAUUACAUUUUAUGGCGAUGUUUUCAGGAGUUUGUGUUUUCCAUUGUAUGACACAAACUUGCAAUCAGAGAUUUUAAACAAACUGCCAGUCAUGUAGCUGCAACAGCGUGAAGAUCAAUGUGGCUGCAAAAUCAUCAGAGAAGCUGUGUGAAUAUUCAGGCAGUCAGCCUGUGCAGGACUUUUAACUACUGAAGCAACACUUCUGGCAGGAAAACUGUGAUGGCUCAGGUGGUUUAAAGUGAGCUUGUCUUGGGAAGCUUCACCCUCAGCUCUGGCUUUCAGUGUGCCCUGAAUUUUGAGGUCAGGUCUCUGGGCAGAUUUCAGUGGGUUUUUGUUGUUCUUUCAGGCCUAUUUUUUUAUAUUCAGUGAUUGUACUCAUCUCUCUCUCUUUACUUUGUCAGUUUCUAAAUAUGUAUUGUCAAUGUCAUGUCUGGAAGAGACACAACACUGGCAGUGAUAAGCACUGAUAUCAGGAGCUGUGUUAGUCGCACACAGGCAGGGGAAGAAUGUGCAGCAGAACACUCAGGAAAAAUAUUGCUUAAAAUCAGACGUGAACUAUUUUCACACUCUUAUUUUUAGGAUCUGAAAAGCUGGAGUUUUGGGGUUUUUUUCCAAUUAUAUACAGCCUCUGAAUUACUAAGGUUACAAACACACUGUGCACCAGUGAGUUAAGUGCAGUGCUUUGACACUGCAGGCAUCUCUGACCUGAGGGCACUUACUAUAAGGUGAUGCCAUAGCUGUGAAGAGGCAAAAUAAUGCCUAGAACAUGGGUGGGCAGACUCAGCCAGCAGCAGCACUUACAACAACAUCAGCAACCCUGUGGCAUGUUCCCUCUGUGCUGUUUAAUAUGCGACAAACAAAGGUCUGGUUGGUGACCCAGCCCUCCCUGUAUUCAGAGGCUGAAAACUGCCUCAUUAUUGUUCAUUAUGUAGUAUUAUUCUCAUGCAGUCACAUUAUCAUGGCUUCCCCUGAGAGCCAGGAUGCUACUGUGGGCUCUGCACAGCUACACCGGUUCCUAUACCUGAGCUAAUUUGUUCAGUGCUAACCUGAUGUCUCUGCAGGACAGAGAGCUAUUCCCCUUGCAAGGGAAGGUUCAAGCAUUAGUUAUAGCUGCUGUGUGAGAAGUACAACAUACACUGCCUAUUUUUGACAGGGACCUGGUUUGCUGGCCCCGCUGUGAGAACGUGUUAACUCAUCCAGGGUAAAUUCAUUCCAAAUUCAAGUAAUGGUUGGAAGGGAGGUACACGCAAAGAAAUCAACUGUAGAGAGCAAGUGGAGGGUUGAGGGAGAGAAAGUUGUAUGCAAGACUGGCAGCAAGAAAGGGGAAGUGUGGCAGGGGUUUUAAAGGCAUUCCAAAGCUCAGAAGUAGUAAUUAGUUUCUAGAUAGCUGUGAGGUUAGGACAUCCAAAAUACUACCCAUUCUGCCUUCAAAUGAAACAGAAAUGAGCCAAUUCUAGUUUAAAGCUAGUGCCCAGAUCUUUGCAGCUGCUGCAUCAUUUUGAGUUGCCCACCAUUUGUGAUCUUGUUGUGUGAUAGUGUGGUGUUAAGGUACAUGGGAAGGAGCAAACGCCUCAGUGCAAAGAGGAUGCGAGAGAAAACAGAAAUAAAACGAUGGCAGUGAUUGUACAUUUUGCUUUACACAUGAAGUACUGGCAAGUACUGAUACAGUUCGGUUCAGGGAUGACAGUGGAGGCAAUUUGCCUACUGUUAGGUACUGGAGAGCAUACAAUGAAGAAAGAAGAUAAGCAGUGUAACUUAACAUAAUGAAAAAUAACACAGUAAAUAUAAGGGAAUGAUGAAACUGAGUUUCAACAAAAGGAAAGUAUGUAGACAUAGGAUAGAAAAUUUUAAGUGACAGAGUAGGUAGGAUGUUUAGAAAUAAACUGGAUAAAUAUCUUGUAAAUCAGUAGCAAAUAUAAAUUCUGCAAGGACCCUCUCGACUUUGAAAGUCAGUGUCUUUUCUGUUCCCUGAUUCUGGGAUUCUAUGCAUCAAGUCCAUGUACAGAAGGGCCAUCUCCUUGCUGUAUUGCCCUUCUGCCAUUCUUCACAAGGGGCAAGGAUGAUGAUGGUCCCCUGAUAACGUUAAGAAUGAGUUCAGUAUUGGAAAGGACUUGUAAUGCACCACAGGUAUGUGUGGAGAAGGAGAUAACCCGAGAUCAGAAUGGAGUCUCUUGCUCCAAGAGCACAUUCCCAAGUUUUUUGCAUUCCAAACAUGGCAAUUAUUGUCCUUACUAACAAGUAAAUAGAAAACAGCUCUUUUCCAAUAUCAAUAUGUAGGGAAGAACAUAGUCAAAAGAACUAAAGCAGCAAGGUAGUCUGACCCUUACUGCUGAAAUAAUCACAUAGGAUUGCCAAUCAAUGAAGUCCAGAGAUGGAACAUAAACAGUUGUAAGCUGGGAAGGUUCUACAAACAAUAUUUAUUACUUGUUUCAUUCUUGCUCCUACCCUUGUUCUUUCAGGGUUUUUGACACAGCUAUAACAAUUCACAGUUUUCCAAAGUUAGUGUGCCAUUUUUACCUUCUGGAACAUGGAGAUCUAUUAGAGAGCUUGCUGAUGGAAGUGUUCGUAGAAGUAGUGUGCAAUCAGAAAAAAAAAUUAGGUUGGAAGGGUCCUCUGGAGGUCUCUAGUCCAAUUCCCUGCUCAGAGUGGAGCUGACUUCCAAGCUGGAUUAGGUUAUUCAGGGCCUUGUUCAAUUAAGUUUGGAAAAUCUCCAAGGAUGGAGAUGCCACAACCUGAUUGAGUACUUAACAACUCUCCCUGUAAAGGCUUACAGCAAUAAGAUAGCAAUACAAGUGGACUAUGUAAGAGAAUGUAAGAAUAUUUAAUUAGAAUAUAUAGGUGAAGAUCAUGGCAGUAAGAGCUUUCUGUAUGGGUGAUAAGGUAGAACAAAAAAAUAGCAAUAUACUUAGAGUAACAGCAGGAAUGCUGUGGCUUUGCCUUUGCUGGCAACUGUAGUUGGACACUGCAGACUGGAGAACUUUGUUUGGGUUUCUUCAUAGGUAGUUUUGAUCACAGUGUCCCCAGGAUUUUUUUUUUCUGAAAAGCUUUCUUUAGAUCCUUGGCUGACUUUGCUGACUACUUAGCUUCCCUCCUGUGGAAGCCUGCAUUCCUUUCAGGUGGUAGAGACAUGCAGCCCAUGUGUGAACAGAGCUGAAAUGGACUGCUGUGGAGAGGUAUCGUCUCAAGUGCCAGUCAGCACCACUGCUAUAUUCUUACCAUCCUAGUGAGCAAAAGCCACCGAGCUGCAGGACUACAGUGUGGAAAAGUGAUGACACAACAGCAUCUUGAUAACAGUGUCAGCCUUAGGAGCGAAGUAGAAAAUAUAUGGGUUUGGAUAGGAAGAAGCAGGGGAUGCUUUGCACAGCCUCCUUGGUGUCACUACCUGUUGCUAUAGUAUUUUUUAACCUGUCCCUCUAAUGAGUUUUGAAGGCCUGGGAGGCACAGGCAGGAUCAGCCACAGGAUUAAACAUGAGUCAGUGCUUGGUUUAACAACAGAACUAUGGCUGUGCUAGUUGACUGACAAGUCUUGUUUACUCAGACUAAGCCCCCACUCUGCAAAUAACAGCAGUCUUCUGAGCAGGGUAGGCGGCUUUGUGUGUGGAUAGACCUAGAGUCAGAGGCUGUAUUCCAAGCAUGUAACUUGGGCUGACUCUGAGCUGAAAACAGACCUUAAAUACAGCAGUUCAGCUCCCAAGUACAAGGAAUUUCAUUGCCCUGUGCAUCCAGAGUCCAAGCCUACAUCCAGCCUUUGCUCCCUGGCCAAAACGGUCUUUCUGUCAGAAAGCUGCUUGGGUAACAAUGCUUGUAAAAACCCACUGGUUUACGAACAGAUUCCCUGCAGUCCCCAGUGCAUGCUGGUUGCACGUGGGAAUGUCCGCUGAUCUGGAAAUGAGGUGUGUGAAGGUGUGCCAGAGUUUGUUUGGAUCAUGCCGAAGAUCCGUGCGGACUGUUACAAACAAAACAUAUGCAGUCCGUGUACUUUAAAAUACAAGUGCCCACAUAAAAGCUAUCGUUUACGGCAGCCAUACCAUCUGCCCAUCCCGUGGCGUGGAGAUUUGUAGUCGCGGUAAUCCGAAACGCACCAGGGCUGCCAGAAGCAGCGGGGUUAUCAGUGUGCCCCUCGCUGGCCGAGGUUCACCCGCAGAGCUCAGCUCCCCGCCAGCUGCCAGCGGGCGCCUCUUGUGCCCCUCGGCCGGCCCAGGGCAUCCCUUCCAUGCCCACCACCUCCUGGAGGGGGCUUUACGGGAGGAAGGCUAGGGAGAUGAUUUGUUUUCUUUCUUUCUGGCCCGUUUAAGCUAUAUUUUCAUUCUAACUGCAGUUGUUCUUCCCCGCGCUGCUCCUGGGGCCGGGCCGGGCCGUGCGGUGCUGUCUCCCGGCGGCGGCCGCAGGCAAUGGCAGCGGGUCGGGCCCUGCCCCCGGCCGGGCGUGCCGCCCUUAUGUAAGGCCUUUAUGUAAGCGGCCGGCCCGCUCUGCCCCUGCUCGCCCCCCGCGGGAACGGCGCUCUCCGCGCUGUGCCGUGGCCGAUAGAAUGGCGAGGCCGGCGCGGCCCUCAGGCCCCGGCGCGGCUGGGACGCAGGAGGGCAGAGGCGCGCGGGGAGAAGGGGCUCCUGCCCUGGCCCUCCGUGAGGAGAGUCCCGGCCUGUCGGAAGGGCUCGGGAGGCAGGACGUGCUCCCGGGGUGCCCCGGCGCUGUUCGGAUGUUGGCGGGGGAUAACCGAGAUGGCUUCAGCCUGCUCGGUUCUUGCUGCUCUCCUGCGAGAGUGACCGCGGUUCUCCCCCCGGCAUGCGGCGGCAGCAGCCGAUGUUGGCCGGGGCCCCAGCCGCAUCCUGGGCCGGGGCAGCACUGUCCCCUCCGGAGGCUGCAUCCUGUGAGAAAUCAGGUUGUGAUUCAUGUCAAUCGAAUAGCGCCCACCUAUCUAUGUGUGUCUGCGGGCAAUGUGGACAGAGACCAUGGGAUUAAUUAUAAGGAAGAGUUUUAAGAAUCAGUUAAAGUAAGGCAUGGAAGUAGGAUUUAACAAGGCAACUAUGUAACAGUAAACUUUUGGCAAAUAAUUUGUUUUAACAACAAAAUUGUAAUUACUUGCAAGUAAUUAAUAUAAGCUUUAAACUACCUUGUAAUAUACGUUUCAAACUAUCCUUUGUACAAGCUAUAAAUUAGUUUUUUUGAGUAUGGAAGAAUUUGUAAUCAUUUAAAAAGGGGAAGUAGGACUAACAUGAGCUGAGAGGCUCUACAAAGGCAUUUUGAAACAUGCUGACUUUGAGUUUUGUAAUAACUGAAGAAGAGGCCCUAUGAAGAUAUUUUUUAGACAUGCUAGCUUUAGGUUGUGAAAUGAUUGAAAGAAGGCUUGUAAAAUGUAUGCUGACAAACAGAAUAUAUAUGCUUGCUUAAACAAACUGUAUAACCAAAAUAAUGCUAGUGGAAAAAAAGAUAUUUUAAAAGAAGAACAGGAGGCUGGAGAGAUAUCAGAAGACCAUCUUGGACCACCUCCCCAACAGAUCUUCAAAAACCACAGCUGCUGAUUAUGAAGAAAAGCAAGCAAAUAACUGAAAAUUUGAGGAAGUGAAGUGCCUGUAAUGGUAUUAGAGACUACUGUUUGAGACCUGAAUUGGUGUUGCUUGGGGCAGAGACCCCUGCACAGCCAGUGCUGUCAUUGCUCACCCUUUUAUCGAACAAAU